rnacentral:tRNA from 1 species
GGGGAUGUAGCUCAGGUUGGUAGAGUGUUUUCCUCGAAUGCAAAAGGCUCUGGGUUCAAUCCCCAGCACUACAA